rnacentral:rRNA from 1 species
GAUGAACGCUGGCGGCGUGCCUAAUACAUGCAAGUCGAGCGAACGGACGAGAAGCUUGCUUCUCUGAUGUUAGCGGCGCACGGGUGAGUAACACGUGGAUAACCUCCCUAUAAGACUGAGAUAACUUCGGGAAACCGGAGCUAAUACCGGAUGAUAUUUUGAACCGCAGGGUUCAAAAGUGAAAGACGGUCUUGCGGUCACUUAUAGAGGCAUCCGCGCUGCAUUAGCUAGUUGGUAAGGUAACGGCUUACCAAGGCAACGAUGCAUAGCCGACCUGAGAGGCGGAUAGGCGACCCUGGAGCUGGACCACGCACCAUGCUCCUGCGGGAGGGAGCAGUAGGGAACCUGCCGCAAUGGGCGAAAACCUGACGGAGCAACGCGGCGUGAGUGAUGACGGUCUUGGGUUCGUGAAACUCGGUUAUGAGGUAUGAACAUAUGUGUAAGGUACUGUGCAGUGCUUGACGGUAAUUAAUCAGAAAGCCACGGCUAACUACGUG